UAAAGCAGAUUGCUUCCUUGCUGCACGUUUGUGAGCAAGUAAAUUGUUCUUUGUUUCUUCCUCCUUUGUUCUUUGUAUUGUUCUCUUCUUUUGCAUGCUGCCAAUGUUCCAACAGGGCACCACUGUUGGAGACAGGGAUCGACUCUAUAGGACUGUUGAAGAGUCAAAGGUUGUUGCAUUUCUUGCAGCCAUGGAGAUCAUGGCUGAGCAGUUUCCUGGAGCCUUCUCUGGAUAUAACCUACAGAUACAAAUGAUCCGGGAUCCCAAGCAGCAGAUUGAGAUGAUGGGAGUAGUAGAAGAGCAUUUGUCGGGCCAUGCUUGUCAUUUGUAUCAUCUAACAUCACCUGAUCAAACCAUAAUGUUUGCGGCAGAUCGAUAUACGCGGAGGGAACUUUUCGUUGCUAAGAAGGUGCAGUUAUUUAUAUUUCUCUUGCCAGUUUGAAUCUAUUCGAGUGUUUUUACUGUUACUGCAACAUGCUCAGGCAAUAAAAGGUUAAGUCGAAGGCAGAGAAGUGAAUAUAUAAUACGAUGGACGUAUUGCGAUAAAAGAUGUUAUUGUUGUUGGAGUGUAUUAUUUGGCAGCCCAAGAUAUGUAGGGUUAUGAGACACAAGGCAAUUUUGUUGUUCUUUGCAUAGUUAGUGUAAGAAAUGCAAUAUAUAUAUAUAUAUCAUUAUAUUGAA